GAGAAUAUACCAAGAUCAUACAUAAUGUCGUUGUUUUCCGCCCCAUGUAAGUGAAAUUCUUCUUUUAAUUAAUUUGUCCUCCUCUUAAUGUAUUCUCUAUUGUCAUUCAUUACUGGCAAUGUUCUUUUUCGUGUAAUUACUGUCGUGGUUCUUGCUUGUUUGGUUGUAAUUUGAAAGUCUGUUCGAUUAAUUCCUCUACGCACCCAACGUUCAAUGCAUGGGGUUCGUCCAACAAUUGUUUAUGUUAUUGUCUAUAAUUAGCAGCAACAACAACCCAGUAUAAUCCCACAAGUGGGGUCUGCGUACGGUAAUAUGUACGCAAACUUUAUCCCUACCCCGAGGGGCAGAGAGGCUAUUUCCAAGAGACCCUUGGCUCAAAAAAGCAACAAGAGACGAUAUAUUAGUACUAUCAAUAGACUUAUGAUAAAAUAACAUAAAAUACAUAACAUAAAAUAACAAAAUAACAGCAAUAUAAGAAAUAUAGAAAAUACGAAGAAAAAAAAGACAAAGAGGAAGAAAGAGAAAAAGAAAAGGAUGCAAGGUAUACUAAUAUCCAACAGAUAAAGCCCUGCAUUAAUAGCUGACCAGUAGCAUCCUAAGACUAAUUCCUAAUUGGCUAGUCUCACUCUAGUGCGCUGUAGAAAUAUCCACAAAUUCCCCUAGCCUACAACCUUAAUGCUCGACCUCUAUAAUUCUCUAUCAAGGGUCAUGUCCUCAGUAAUCCUAAGUCGCGCCAUGUCCUGCAUGAUCAUCUCUCCCCAAUACUUCUUUGGUCUCCUUCUACCUUUCCUCUAACCUACCACAACCAGUCGCUCACACCUCCUUAUCAGUGCAUUAGUUCUCCUCCUCUGGAUGUGCCCGAACUAUCCGAGUCUUGCUUCCCGCAUCUUGUCCUCCAUAGAGGCCACAUCCACCUUCUCUUGAAUAUCUUCAUUCCUAGUCUUAUCCAUCAUUGUGUGCCCGCACAUCCACCUCAACAUCCUCAUCUCUGCUACUUUCAUCUUCUAGAUGUGUGAGUUCUUAACCGGCCAACACUCAAUCCCAUACAACAUGGCAAGUGCUCUAUAAAACUUACCUUUUAGUAGCGGUGGCACUUUCUUGUCACACAGGACUCCCAUCGCUAACCUCUGUUUCAUCCACCCCAUCCCGAUACGGUGUGUGACAUCCUCACCGAUCUCCCUGAUCCCCUGAAUAACUGACCCAAGGUAUUUAAAACUACCUCUCUUAGGGAUAACUUGAGAGUCAAGCCUCACUUCCACUCCCACUUUUGCCGGCUCGGCCCCAAAUUUGCACUCCAGGUAUUCCGUCUUCGUCCUGCUCAACAUGGAACCUUUAGACUCAAGGGCAUGUCUCCAAACUUCUAGCCUCUCGUUGACGCUGCGUCAUGUCUCAUCAAUUAGAACCAGUGUUGUGAAAAGCGAGCGCUUCGUCGCUUAAAGCGCGAAGCGACUCGAGGCGACAAGUUGUCGAUUUUUACUGCCUAAAGCGAUGCGACCACCAGAAGUGCUCGCUUAACAGUGAAAAACGAGGCGAGGCGACGCGAUCGAAGCGAGAGAAGCAAUCGAUUACCUGAAAAAAUCGAUCGUUUAGUUAAAAACAGAGAUCGACCCAGUUCUGGAAAUUAGGGUUUCCACUUUCCAUUGACUGAAAUUGAAAAAAGAGCUCGACCAACGUCCCCUCUUCUUCUCCAGUGACGGAAAUUAGGGUUUCCAUCUUCACCGACGAUCGACGACCAACGACCCGACGGAAAUUAAAAACAGAGCUCGACCAACGACGGAAAUUAGGGUUUCCAUCUUCACCGACGACCGACGAGAUACCCAGGUAUUUUUUCUUCUCCUUUCUUCUUGUUUUUUCUUUCUUCUUCAUCUUCUUCUUCCAUCUUCUUCUUCUUUCUCUCUGUCGACGUCGACGACAAGCUUUUCCAUCGUUUUUUCAUUUUUUUUUUCAUGUUCGAUCAGCGUCGACCGACGUCGACGACGAGCUCUCAGUUUCACAGUUUCACUUUAUUCUUUUUCAUUAGUUUUUUGUCCAAUUCUUUUCAUUUUUUUUAAAUGGUACUGUAGCAGUAGCAUAUAUAUAUAUAUAUUUAAUAAUUGUAUUAUUAUUUUUAAUUUCAGUUUAAUUUCAGUGUAUUUUCAGUUUAAUUUCAGUGUAUUUCAGUGUAUUUCAGUUUAUUAAUUAUUUUUUCGCUUAUAUCUUAAUAGGUAUAAUUAAAUGUCUCAAAGUUCGAAAGAGAAAGACCCGGCUUGUCUUAUAGUUUAUGGAUGGUUUGUGGAUAAUUUGGUGGUGCCUAGUACCUACUUUUAAGUAUUUAAAUUGAUAUUUUUGAUUAUUUAUAAUUUUACAUAAUGUUUUUUAAGAAUUGCACUUCACUUCAAAAAAGCGUGCGCUUCUUUGCGCUUUGCGCUUUGAAGCGAGGCGAGCCCUUGUCGCUUUUUUGAAUUGCGCUUCACUUCAAAAAAGCGUGCGCUUCUUUGCGCUUUGAAGCGAGACGAGCCCUUGUCGCUUUUUUGCGCUUUGCGCUCUCCAAAACACUGAUUAGAACUAUGUCAUCAGCAAAUAGCAUGCACCAUGGCACCUCCCCUUGAAUAUGAUGCGUUAUGGCAUCCAUCACUGGGGCAAAUAGGAAAGGGCUGAACGCAAACCCUUAGUGCAACCCCGUAACAACCCAAAAAUUGCUCGGAGUCGCCUCCUACUAUCCUAACCCGAGUCUUAGCUCCAUUAUACAUGUCUUUAAUCACUGUAAUGUAGGCAAUCAAGACCCUUUUAACCUCUAAGAAGCUCCAUAAGACCUUCCUAGGAACUUUGUCGUACCCUUUCACUAGAUUGAUAAACACCAUAUGGAGAUCCUUCUCCUAAUAAGGUGGAUAGCUUCUGUGGUAGAUUGCCUCGGCAUGAACCCGAACUAGUUGUCUGAAAUAGACAUCGUCCUUCACACUUUCAUUUCUACCACUCUCUUCCAGACUUUCAUGGUAUGACUUAGUAAUUUGAUACCCCUAUAGUUGUUACAGCUCUGGAUAUCGCCUUUGUUCUUAUACAAUGGAACCAUUGUACUCCACCUCCACUCUUCAGGCAUCCUAUUAGUCUCGAAUAUAACAUUAAACAACCUAGUAAGCCAUUCCAAACUUGCUCUACCCACACACCUCUAAAGUUCCACCGGAAUUUCGUCUAGCCCGGUAGCUCUACCCCUCCUCAUCUUACGCAUUGCCUCCAUGACCUCAUUGACCUCAAUGUCCCUACAAUAACUUAAUUUACGGGGGCUGUCGACAUUCCUCAAUUCACCUAGUACCAUAUCCUCAUCCCCUUCUUCAUUUAGAAGUUUAUCAAAGUAGGUCUGCCAUCUUCUCUUAAUUUGGUCAUCCCCUGUCAAAUCUUUGCCGUCCUCAUCUUUUAUGCACCUCACUUGGUCCAGAUCCCGAGUCGUCCUCUCUCUCACCUUAGCAAGUCGGAAUAACUUCUUCUCCCCGCCUUUGUUCCCUAGUUCUUCAUACAGACGAGCAAAAGCUGCCCUCUUAGCCUCCGUUACUGCCAUCUUCGCCUCCUUCCUAGCUAGAUUAUAUGCCUCAUUGUUCGCUCUCUUCUCCUCUUCGCCAGUGCUCCCUAGUAACAGCAGGUAAGCCGUCUUCUUCGCUUCCACUUUACCUUGGACAACUGCAUUCCACCACGAGUCUCCUUUGUUGCCACCGGUACGGCCCGAAGAUAUCCUAACACCUCUCUCGCCGCCUUCCUUAUAUAGUCCGCCGUCGUCGACCACAUAGUGUUUGCAUCCCCACUACUUCUCCAAGCUCCCAUUGCCGAUAACCUUCCUUCCAACUCCUGAGCUUUAUCCUUAGUCAAGGCGCCCCACCUAAUCUUCGGGUGGCCUCGUACUGGCCUCUUCUUCCUCCUUAUCAUAAUGCUAAUGUCCAUCAACAAAUGCCCCACCUAAUCCUCGGGCGGCCUCGUACUGUCUUCUUCUUCUUCCUUAUUACAAUAUCAAUGUCCAUCACAGAAAGCCUAUGUUGCGUUGCAAGGGCCUCACUUGGGAUACUGUCUGUAAUUAGCCUUGUAAGGUUAUGUUAAAAGAGAUGACUAUGAGACUAUAAACUCUGAAAAUUGCUUGACAAACCAUUGACUCUUCAAAAGUUACUCUUCAUUAAUCACAAAUUUGAAUUUGAAUUUCUAAUAUCCACUAAGAACGACAUAAUGAUAGUCGAUUUUAAUGGACCUUUCAAUCUUUAGGUAUUAACUUUUGCUAGGUCUUCAUUAUUCAAUCAUCCUUAUGUCUCUUUGUAUCUUAUUUUUCUUGACGAGCGAGGGUCUAUCGGAAACAACCUCUCUACCCAGAGGCGAAGCUAUGUUAGUCCAAGGGUGGUCAACGUAACUUAACACCCUUCGACUAAAAGUAAAAUAUUAUUUGUCAUUGAUUAAAAAAUAGACUUUGAACAUCCUUGCACAACUUACCUGCAAAAGGUGUUCAAAAUUUGAACACCUUAAUAGGAUUUCCUAUCUUCGCCACUGUCUCUACCCCUCGAGGUAGGAGUAAGGUCCGCGUAUACGCUACCGUCCCUAGAUCCCACUCAUGGAAUUUCACUGGGUUGUUGUUGUUCUUCUUCUCUUCUUCUCUUGCUCGUGAGGUACAUAACUUGUUACUAUAAUAGUUAAGUAUUACCGAGUGAACUACCUAUUAGGAACUGAUUCACACAUUACUCUUUUAGUUGUGACUGUUGUCAAAAUUUUAAAUUGUUGAAAGCAAACAAUUCUAGAGUUGCAUUAUGAAAUUGUUAGUUAUUUCUAUAAGACGAAUAGUUAUUUAUUAAUUUAUCUAAAAAAUUGGUCUUCCACAAAAGAAAAGUAUGUUCUUUGAAGAGAAAGUUUGAAAUUAUAGUAUUAAAAGAUGUUUCAUGAUUUUAUAUAAAUAUAUAUAUAUAUAUAUANNNNNNNNNNNNNNNNNNNNNNNNNNNNNNNNNNNNNNNNNNNNNNNNNNNNNNNNNNNNNNNNNNNNNNNNNNNNNNNNNNNNNNNNNNNNNNNNNNNNNNNNNNNNNNNNNNNNNNNNNNNNNNNNNNNNNNNNNNNNNNNNNNNNNNNNNNNNNNNNNNNNNNNNNNNNNNNNNNNNNNNNNNNNNNNNNNNNNNNNNNNNNNNNNNNNNNNNNNNNNNNNNNNNNNNNNNNNNNNNNNNNNNNNNNNNNNNNNNNNNNNNNNNNNNNNNNNNNNNNNNNNNNNNNNNNNNNNNNNNNNNNNNNNNNNNNNNNNNNNNNNUAAUAGGCCAUAUAUAUAUAUAUAUAUAUAUAUAUAUAUAUAUAUAUAAAUCAUAUAUAUAUGAGGUUUCCUCUCCUAAAGAAUGUUUUUUCACUUUUGAUAUUAGCUUUUUAGGAUGUUGUAGGUAAUUUUCGUAUUAUGAUAUCUUAUUUACUUUUUGUAUUAUUCAUAGUUUUGUUAUAAUUUAUGUUAAAAUUUUCAAUAAUUUAUUUUAUUUUGAUGUUUUAUGAUGUAUGUAUUUUUGUAAUUUUUUUUAUUUUACACUAUUUUGAAAAUUUAGUAAUUAUAUAAAAUUUAACGAUAUGUGAGGCUUAAGCUCCAUGUCUUGAGAUUUACCCCGACCUCGUCUUAAGUAAAAUGCCUUACCUCACGAAUGAGUUCUUUCUAUACUUACAUUACUUGCUUUUAUCCUCCUCUGUCUUUGGAUAUUCUUGUUUGGGUUUAAAUUUAUGUGUGGGUCUUAAUGCAGUAGAGGAGCCAUAUACAACAAAAUGGAUUCAAUCUUAUACUGCGUAAAUAGGAUAAAAGUAAAAAAUUUAAAUACAUUACUACUAUAUAGAAGAGGGAAGGAGAGGAGCUUCUGGUCAAAGUGAAUUGACAAAAAAACCAUUUCAUUUCAGCUUAAAAAGUUUGAAUCCCCUUUAACAUAAGAGAAAUACAGGAUCAAAUCCCCGGAGUGAUGUUUUUGAACAUUUUUGAAUCUCCUUGAUAGCACCUUUAAGUUUCAGAAAUUUGUGUUUUCAAGAGAGCUGAAUAUUCAUGCUAUCAAAAUGUAAUUUAUCGAAAGAAUCUUGGUAUUACUCUCUAAACUAAUAAAAUAGGAACGAGGAAGAGAGUGCGAGGAUACUGGAUGAAUAUUCUUUGUCACACUCACACUGCAUAAAAGCUUCCCAUGAUUGUACAAUUGUUGGACAUUUAAUGUUAUGCUAAAAAUUUACAAGUAAUCAUCACAUUAAUGAUGGAUGUAAAUAUUGUGUGGAUUUAAAUUCUGCUUCAGCACGCAUGCAUGUAAUUUGUAAAUCACAAUAUGUACCUCGCAUGCUUUCUUCUGUUUUGCAUAGUUUUCUUCUUCUGUAUGUUUCGUGCUUCGACUACUUUUUCAGCUGGUUGAUUACAUUAUAUUCUCUCCAGAACAAAUUGAUUAUAUAAUUAUAGUGACUGAUAGUUCUCUCUCUCUCUCUCUCUUCUCAUACUUUUCUUCUCACAGCUUCAAGUCCGUCAUUUAGUAGUAGCAAUCUGUUUGGAAUAGAGCAUUUGGAGCAACCUCAUCAGCAGUAUUUGCUCAACCUAUUGGAAGUUCAGUGUCUUUUGGUGGUAAAAACGAGUAUAACUAGAUUAGUUAUUUUCCUUUUAGCAUACUGAUCUUGGGAUAGGCAAUUGACUUUCCCGAAGAAACCGCAGAAUAUAUUCAUGUAUUGUUAAUUAGAAGAUUUUU
rnacentral:lncRNA from 1 species